CAAAGGAGCCAUGUGUGCAAUUUUGCUGCCGUUUGCUGCUAGUGCUCAUUGAAAUUCUUGACAACUGCCAAGAGUGCUGACUCAUCAUUCAGGGAUCCUGUAGCCUCCCUGCUAGAAACUGGACAUAGCAAGGCUGGUCACACAUUCAGCAAGAGAUAAUGGCUUCCAGUAACUUGUGGGGGGGGGGGGGUAGGAGAAGGAACUAUCUUAAAGAAUAUUAAAUUCAUGCAAACAGCGACAAUGGAACAAAGGCCAAAGUAACUGAGACUGAAACAGCUAUUGAUAUACAUAAAGAACAACGGCUGCUGCAGCUUGUUGUGAAUACACCCAAUGCUGUGCGCUGUUGACAGCUGAAGAUGAGCAGCUUAGGCUGAAGGAGAAAUCCUCUGGACUUACAAAGUGCAGAGAUGCUGCCUAACCAAUGUCUUCAGACGCCAGUCAGUGUUAAAAGCCUGAAGAUGACGUACUGCCAUGUCUCCUCAGUCUCAUCAGAUUGUGAUCUAAUCAGGACAUAAAUGCCAUAGAGCUGACUAGCGCUGGAGUAAAACUGUCUCAUUAGUAUCCCAGUCUCUACUUUCAAAAAUGCUCAAAACCCAGUGGUUAAAGCAACAGUUAUAGAGCAAACUGCAGUCAAAAUCUACAGAGAAAAAGACUACCUCUGUCUCACAGCCGUGGUGAGGCACAUUUUUCAGGUCUGAGAACACCCCAGAGAACUUUGAACACAUCUACCAACUUCAAAGCAAGAAACCCAGAGACUUGCAACACAUCUUGCUUUCAUGGCCUAAACAGUAUAAUCAGUGACUUUAUCCAGGAGUGCACGAUAAUGUUCCUGUUCGCUGGGGAAUAGAGCAUAACGAUUUUUACACAGCGACACCAUCAUGUUUUAAUACUCCACAAAUAUCAGCCUAGGUCUUC